AUUGAACGCUGGCGGCAUGCCUUACACAUGCAAGUCGAACGGCAGCACGGGAGCUUGCUCCUGGUGGCGAGUGGCGAACGGGUGAGUAAUAUAUCGGAACGUACCCUAGAGUGGGGGAUAACGCAGCGAAAGUUGCGCUAAUACCGCANNCGAUCUACGGAUGAAAGUGGGGGAUCGCAAGACCUCAUGCUCAUGGAGCGGCCGAUAUCUGAUUAGCUAGUUGGUGGGGUAAAGGCCUACCAAGGCAUCGAUCAGUAGCUGGUCUGAGAGGACGACCAGCCACACUGGAACUGAGACACGGUCCAGACUCCUACGGGAGGCAGCAGUGGGGAAUUUUGGACAAUGGGCGCAAGCCUGAUCCAGCAAUGCCGCGUGAGUGAAGAAGGCCUUCGGGUUGUAAAGCUCUUUUGUCAGGGAAGAAACGGUGAGGGCUAAUAUCCUUUGCUAAUGACGGUACCUGAAGAAUAAGCACCGGCUAACUACGUGCCAGCAGCCGCGGUAAUACGUAGGGUGCAAGCGUUAAUCGGAAUUACUGGGCGUAAAGCGUGCGCAGGCGGUUAUGUAAGUCAGAUGUGAAAUCCCCGGGCUCAACCUGGGAAUGGCAUUUGAGACUGCAUGGCUAGAGUGUGUCAGAGGGGGGUAGAAUUCCACGUGUAGCAGUGAAAUGCGUAGAGAUGUGGAGGAAUACCGAUGGCGAAGGCAGCCCCCUGGGAUAACACUGACGCUCAUGCACGAAAGCGUGGGGAGCAAACAGGAUUAGAUACCCUGGUAGUCCACGCCCUAAACGAUGUCUACUAGUUGUCGGGACUUAAUUGUCUUGGUAACGCAGCUAACGCGUGAAGUAGACCGCCUGGGGAGUACGGUCGCAAGAUUAAAACUCAAAGGAAUUGACGGGGACCCGCACANGCGGUGGAUGAUGUGGAUUAAUUCGAUGCAACGCGAAAAACCUUACCUACCCUUG
rnacentral:rRNA from 1 species